rnacentral:miRNA from 1 species
CAUUGCACACAGUAGUGGGGCU